UGGAGUGUGACAAUGGUGUUUGUAUCCAAUCUGUCAAACGCCAUUAUCACACUAAAUA
rnacentral:pre_miRNA from 1 species